UAAGAGGAAUGACUUCCAUCCUUCCUAUCCAUGUUAAAAUCCUUCCCUUCCUAUGAAAUCCAGGAACCUUCCUCCAGGAAGCUCCUUCCACUUACCCAAGGCAACCUGCACUGUCUAUGCUCACUCACUAUCAUGACCCAGAAGAUUAGGUUCCUAGAGCAUAGGGGUCCCAUUUGGAGGACUUGACUCUACAGGGAUCGGACUCCUUGGGCUCAUCCUCUCUUCUCCUAAUCCAGGAGCAUCUCCAAGAAAGGGAACUCGGUCCCCGACUGACUCAUGAAGACAUUCACCUGGAAGGAGCUGUUCAUGGAGGACUGCAUGGAGUGACAUAAAUGGAUGGUUUCUUUGGGAGACCGAGGGCUCCUGCAGAUGCGGAGCCGAGAGGGCUGUGAGUCCGGCUGCCUCAUCUUACAAACGGGGACACCGAGGCCCAGAGGGAUGGAAACCGAGGCCCCGAGGGACGGAUGGUCUCCCAUCGCACAAAUACCUGAAGCAGGAUCGAAUCCGGGCUCCUGUUGCGUCUCCAUCCUCCCCCCGCCUCCGGAGGAGGAAGGGACAGAAUCAAACCCCAGGCCGGGUAAAUGAUAAAGAGGGGCAGCCCCACAGCAGAUACACGGAACUGUUCUUUGGCUUCUUGAGAACACACAAAAUCC